rnacentral:rRNA from 1 species
ACGAACGCUGGCGGCGUGCUUAACACCUGCAAGUCGUACGGUAAGGCCCUUUCGGGGGUACACGAGUGGCGAACGGGUGAGUAACACGUGAGUAACCUGCCCACAACUUUGGGAUAACGCUAGGAAACUGGUGCUAAUACUGGAUAUGUGCUCCUGCUGCAUGGUGGGGGUUGGAAAGCUCCGGCGGUUGUGGAUGGACUCGCGGCCUAUCAGCUUGUUGGUGGGGUAGUGGCCUACCAAGGCGGCGACGGGUAGCCGGCCUGAGAGGGUGACCGGCCACAUUGGGACUGAGAUACGGCCCAGACUCCUACGGGAGGCAGCAGUGGGGAAUAUUGCACAAUGGGCGCAAGCCUGAUGCAGCAACGCCGCGUGCGGGAUGACGGCCUUCGGGUUGUAAACCGCUUUCAGCAGGGACGAAGCUUUUUGUGACGGUACCUGCAGAAGAAGCACCGGCUAACUACGUG